CCUACGUGGUGCAGCAGUGGGGAAUAUUGGACAAUGGGCGAAAGCCUGAUCCAGCCAUGCCGCGUGUGUGAAGAAGGCCUUCGGGUUGUAAAGCACUUUCAGUGGGGAAGAAAGCCUUGGGGCUAAUACCCUCGAGGAAGGACAUCACCCACAGAAGAAGCACCGGCUAACUCCGUGCCAGCAGCCGCGGUAAUACGGAGGGUGCGAGCGUCAAUCGGAAUUACUGGGCGUAAAGCGCGCGUAGGCGGUCUGAUAAGCCGGUUGUGAAAGCCCCGGGCUCAACCUGGGAACGGCAUCCGGAACUGUCAGGCUAGAGUGCAGGAGAGGAAGGUAGAAUUCCCGGUGUAGCGGUGAAAUGCGUAGAGAUCGGGAGGAAUACCAGUGGCGAAGGCGGCCUUCUGGACUGACACUGACGCUGAGGUGCGAAAGCGUGGGUAGCAAACAGGAUUAGAUACCCCUGUAGUC
rnacentral:rRNA from 1 species